CUGCGGCUCACUACCACCUCCACCGCCACUCUCCUCCUCCCCGUUGUCUCUUCUCCCUCCUACCCCGUCUCUCGGACGCCGAAGUCAGCAAUUAUGCCGUCGGCUCCGCCGUCCCCCGAAUCCGUGAUGUCUAUGGCCUCCUUCUCUGAUAACGCAGCCAUACGCCAGAUGUAGCGGCCCUGUCGGCAAGUACGCCGCCAACACCUCCCCCAAACUCAAGUCUGCCACGCCUCUCCUGCAUCCCGCUCCGAUGCAAAAGCCCGCCGCCUCCCCGUCCUCCUAGCCAUCUCCUCGACACCGACCUUCGCGUACGACGGCUACACACUUCUCAUCCUCGGUAGCGGCGGCGCCACCUGCUACAUCCUUCCCCACCGUCGUGCUCCACGUUUGUCCAUUCGAGUACGAGCUGCUCCCCGAGGACCUCUUCGCCACCAGAUAUUGGAGCGCCACCCACGGCUCCACACCCGCGUCCUCCUCCAAUCGACUCCGUCUCGAAGAUGGCUGGUCUGAUGUGAUGUUGAUGUGGAGGUACUACGCUCUGCUAUUUCCUUUCCUUCCAAUACAAAGUUCAAUUUUUCUAUCACCUAAGUUUCAAAUCAGCAUCCAACUAACUGUCUAUAAACCACUCAUGUAGCCCAAUAUAAAUCAGUGUGCAGGCAUAUGGGACUCACGCUGCUCAAACUACAGCCACUCACUAACUACACCCUCAAGAAGCCACACGAUCUUUAGAUAGAACGGACAAUGGAGUGCGAGGAGGUGUGAUUCACUGCCAUUCGCCAUCUAAUAUGCUUCGUCAAGGACAAGGUAUGGGUGUGGACGAAGAGUAAAAUCUUCUAUACGUCUCAUCUAUCUUGCUUCAUCUUUGUUAGAGGAUCCUUGUGCUAUAUGUUCUGGUGGUAACAAAUGGACAGUUGGAGUAUCUAUAAUCUUCUUGCGGAAUGAAAAACUUUGAGUAUUGGAAAUGUUGGUGUAUACCUCCCUGAACCGGUAUUUUCACACAUGCUAUGUUGCUCUUCUACAGCUACAUCUAGAAGUGCUAUAAAGAUUCUUACACUCUCGGAUAAGCAAAAGGAAGGUCAAUCCAACUCCAUUGCAAUUUUACAAAGAAAUGGUCCACAAAGAAGUCUCAGUGUGUAGUCCAAGGUCUGAAUCAAGUACAAUUUGGUGGCUGUAAAAAAUCAUUCUAUCUAAUAGGUCAUUCAUCUAAAAUUGUUUCCCAUGUACGGUUCUAAAGUUUGUGCAGAGGACUUUCAGAAAAAAUAACUUUAGAUACUUGCUUUACUGUUCAUGAUAUUUUUGUAAUCGUACAUGUGUUUGAAUAGUUUUUUUGGUAGUUCUCUUUAUUACUCUCUCUGUUCAAAAAAAUUUGGAUGACGCCUAUUGCAGGUGUCUUUGCCAUCCGCGCCCCUCCUUUGGUUGGUAGCUCCACAUCUAAUUUAUCAGGUCACACCCAAAAUUUGUUUUUCCUUGAUGUCUGUUAGCUGCAGUUUUUUUGCAGAAACUUGCUUGAUGUAAGAAAGUUGAAAGAGGCCUGGUGCAGUUUUUUUUGUGUGUGUAUACAUGCACACUCGCCCCAUCUAUAUACAGAUGAUUUGAAUGCAUCUCUUACUGUACAUUUUGUUUCGUUGCUUGGUACAAAAUGUAUUGCAAGUGAUAUUCAUUGUUUUCGCUUUGUUUAUAUAUACUGCAAGCUCAGUUUUUUUUCCUUUAGAUGAAUGUAACACAGGCAGUUAUGUAAGCAAUAGUGAUUGUUUGAUUUCCUUCUAGGUGAGCAUAUGGAUGGAGUGAAACCCCCGGAAAUAAUAUAGUUGGUACAUGUAUUUUGAGUAAACAAUUAAACGAAGGGUAUACUAUGCUCGUCAAAUGAUCCCAUGGCGUGAUCUAAGGUAUGUAAGUAAGUGGAACUAGCUGUGUGAUUUAUGUCUGGAUUAUUUCUUCUCUUCAUGGUGCACUGUAUACAAAUCCAUUUUCUUGUGCAUAUUUACCAAAGCAUUCAGUUAAACACUUCUACUUCAUUCUUGUUUUCCUGGAACCAUUUAUAAGUAUGUUCUCAAGCUAUAGUGUGUAUGCUAUUUUGAUAUAUAAAUUGCUGCAAUUUAUCUUCACUUAAGUCUGUUGUGCCUAAUAUACUUGCACGAAAUGAGCAAUGUUGACUUCCUGGAUGAACAGUAACUGAUUAACUUAUUUCUUUCUACAGCCUUUCCAAGGAAAUAAGCAAUUCUCUGUUGAAGUAGUUCUAAGGCUGGACAUGAUAUAUGUAUUUAUUUUCACCCGCAAAAAAAAUUAAUUAUAUGUAUUAUAGACCGCAGGCUGUGCUGGAAAUUUGGGAAAUAUGAUGUGGGCGCGUUCGUCGCAUCUUUCAAAAUUUAGUGUUAUCGGUUGUGAAGCUCGCACGCCUCACAAUUAACGAAGCCAAUGUUGGAAGGACGCUGACACAUGGCACAUCGUUUUACAUAUUAGUCUAGCUUGGUGAGCCCCAGUCAUUUUGUUUGUACUUGUAUAUAUUCUCUUCUGCGUGCAAAUUGCAAUAUGUUUGUUAGACUAUAUUGUCCAGAGCAACUUACGGGUUCCUAAACAUAAAUACACCCAAUCUUGUGUGAUCCCGUACCGUAGCACGGGCAUCUUACUAGUAAUAAUAAUAGUGCAUGUACAUUGAACUAAGCUGGAAUCUGCAAACAUUCAAUUCAAGGGAGAAGACAAG
rnacentral:lncRNA from 1 species